UGUAUAAAAACAGGCAGACCAGAAGUGAUUCUGACAAGUCAGGAGCAAGCUUCUCUAAACCGUGAAAAGAUUACUAUCCAGAAACAUUUAGAAAAACAGAAAAAUGGCAAGUGUUCCAUCAGCUGGAUGUCUGCUAGCAAAAAACCAGUUCUACCGAAAACGACUCAGCUCUGCCUCAAGCAAUUCCUCAACAAAUUCCUCAACAAAUUCAUCAACAUGUUGUGAUCUUGUGGGAGAUCCGGAAAAGACUCCCAUGCCACAUGGUGUACAUAUGCCGUUUGAGAAGUGCUGGUGGCUGAAGAAGUUUUUAACAUGUGAUGUGGUGCAUCAUAAUAUCGCAGAAACUUCAUUGGUAAAUGGUGCUAAGGUAGUCUCCAUGAUGCUGGCGGAUGCUUGACUGUAGAAGCCAGGCUGUAAACUGAAAAGGCCUUGUGAGUGCUACGUGUCUCAGACCACCGUCUCCGCAGAUAGAUGGUGCAGCACUUAUCGAAAAAGGAGGUGAAAGGUUACCCUCUGGCAGAAGUUAGUGUUCUUUGGCUGCCAAGUAUGUACAAAUGUUAUAUAAUCUUUGGCUGUGAGUCACUAUGGGUGGCAUUAAAAGUACAAUACUCAAGUGCAUAUACUGUAAAGAAGAACAAAAGUGAGUGUCUUGGUUGUGACUACCCAAUUAAUUAGUCAGUGCAGAUAAAUGACAAAAUAACAAAAUGCAAAAUGACACCAGUAGCUAAACAGACCCUUGAGCCUGGACCUGAACCUAAAUUUUAAGGCCAUGAAGCACUGUCAUAUGCAUAAGCUGCCAUUCACUUAGGCUUGAACUUACUGAAGCAGAGCCUGUCAGAUUAAGAAUAUUUUUUUGCCAAGACCUGAUUAAUCUCAAAAGGUUUGCAAUUUAAGGCUUCAGGUUAAUACGUUUCUCUGGUCUCAAUUUGCACAUAACUUUGAAGAUUAUAUUUGCAUAAUUGCUUCUGCAGACAGGAGUGAAAAGGAAUGCAUAAGAUUGUAAUUUCUUAUGUUUUGAUGAUUUCUUUUUGUGAAAAGUAAUGUGAAACUCUUAAUACGUGAAGUAAUUAUACAUCUGCAAUUCUCUUUUGGUGAUGAAACUUUUGAAAACUUGAAAAAAAAUUCAUGUAACUAAAUAAUUAAGGUUGCAGACAAUUUUUGUGUUUCCUCUUACCUGAGUUAUUCAUAUACUAAUAUUUUAUUAUUUUUUAUUUAUUCGUGCCAUAUAGACUUGCACUGUUACAGUUUUUGUAAUAUACAGGAUGUUAUGCAUGUCUAUAAAUGUAUCAAGUUUUUGUUUAUUAGGUAUUCAUACAUACAGGUUUUAUUUUGUCUAACAUGUUCAAAUAAUUAUAUUAAUAUGGCCACACCUCCAACACAUAAAUAGGAAUUUUAUAAACAGUUUACUUCAUAAAUGCUGAAAGUGCAUUGUACAGUUAUGUGAACCAACAUCUUAACUGGUGCACUCAAUAAAAAUUAUAUCCAUUUAUGCUAUAUCCUUUUAUAUCAGUGUGGCAUUAGGUCUGGUGGUGAACCGGACUGGGCUUGGCUGCGGCAGGUGGUGGAGAGAUCACACGCACCUGGGUUGCGUUAAUUAAUCAGCCCAGGUGCUUAAAGGUGUGUUCCUCUCCACAGUUCGGGGCUGAGACCGGAAGCUCACACUGAGAGUAUGUUUUUUGUUUGUAUUUCAUUUAAUUUCAGUUUUAUUUCUUAGAAAAUGAUGGAGAAUGUAAACUGCCACUGAAAAGUAGUAGGAGCUGGUGUAAAGUGGGUCAGCUAUGAGUGGCACACUGUAAAGUGGUCGCUCUGUUUUACUUUUUUUUGUCUUUCUUAUUUUAGUUUGUUGUUUUAGUUUAUUGUUUUUGCCCGAAACCUGUGAGGGGGGAGGGCGUUUAUUUAAUUUUGUGUUUGUGUGGGUGCUCUCUCUCUCUCUUCAUGGGGCAACCAACAUUGUCUCCCUCCCAGGGGUGUCACACUGGAAUGUGACAAUCAGUGUUUAUAGUCUACUUCUGAAUGUGUAGGGCACCAUAACUCAUCCAACAGCAUAAUGGCAUUUACCAAGCACAGUACAUUAAUGCUAUAAGCCUAACGGGGAACUUGCUUUACUGCUUGUAUAUCCAUGUAAUGUAGAACUGAGAAGUCCGAUUCAUGCAGUAAACCUAUUUUCUUGCAACAGUUUGAUUCAUUACUGUGUUAAAACCAUAAAUCAAUGAUUUCUCAUAGCCUGGCAGAUUAUUAAGCUGCCUGCUUUAGAGCAGAUGGCUUAUUACCAGUUAAAGCUCUCAACAGUAGUAUUGUGCUACUAACACACAAAUUAGUUAGUUAGACAGAAAACGCAUCCAGUUAGAAACAUGUAAAUUUUGGGCGCAAAAGUUUAUUCCAUGAAAAAGGCAAAAAUGCAUGUUUAAAUUCAAACCUAUUUGUAUAGGAUACAUAGUUGAACAGUUGCAUUAUUUUUUAAUAUUUUUGUAUAACUUGUUUUGCACAUUUUGUACUAAUAAAACAUUUUUUUUGCAAUUA